AGGUGGCAAGCGUUGUCCGGGAUUUUGGGCGUAAGCGCGCGCAGGUGGUUCCUUAAGUCUGAUGUGAAAGCCCACGGCUCAACCGUGGAGGGUCAUUGGAAACUGGGGAACUUGAGUGCAGAAGAGGAAAGUGGAAUUCCAAGUGUAGCGGUGAAAUGCGUAGAGAUUUGGAGGAACACCAGUGGCGAAGGCGACUUUCUGGUCUGUAACUGACACUGAGGAGCGAAAGCGUGGGGAGCAAACAGGAUUAGAUACCCUGGUAGUCCACGCCGUAAACGAUGAGUGCUAAGUGUUAGAGGGUUUCCGCCCUUUAGUGCUGCAGCUAACGCAUUAAGCACUCCGCCUGGGGAGUACGGCCGCAAGGCUGAAACUCAAAGGAAUUGACGG
rnacentral:rRNA from 1 species